CUAUACAACAACAAAACCUAUUGCUUUAUCUAUCAUCAUAUGCUAACAUGCCUCAAGUCUUUUUUUAACAUAAAAUUGUUAUAAAAGUUACCGUUUAUUUAACACGUCUAAUGAACAGAUUAAAGCAAGUUAACUACCGAUUCGUGUGUUUGGUUGUGACUUUAUUUUCUAUAUUUUUAUAAGUUAAUAUCAAUACGGUACACGUGUAAGUGUGGUAGAUAGUCAAAAUGAAUGAUAGUGCCGUUUUAGUUUUGUCAAGUGUCAAACAGAGAGUUGCAUGUUAUUAAACUUAAUUCUUCUAACAUUACUUCUAAAGAAGUGGUUUAAAUAAUAUUCAAGUGUGUGAUAGAGAUUAGUUAAUCUGCACUCCAUUAGUAUAGCCUGGUUGAGAGAUCUGCUGAUCGAUCUGCUGAUCGAUUGGAUAUACCUGCAGAGGCUGGAUUAGGGGAGCUCUGGGCACGGUGUCAUUCUUGAUGACACUGACAGAGGAAACACCGUGUCCGACUCACUUUAUUAACAUCUCCCCUUUUCAGGUAGGAAAUGAGUGUUUAUGGUCUGUGAAUGUGUUAUUGAGCUGUUUUGUUGUAAGAUAAGAUUUAUUUUGAUUGUUGAAUGUGUGUUUGUGCAGUUAGUUAACACGUUUAUGUAGCUAUGCUCUUCUAGUGGCAGGCAGGGAGUAGCUUCUUCUUUCGUGUAUCGUCUUCAUAUGUCCAACUUCGUGUCGUGUAGCCACUCCCUCGUCUCAGGUCCCACUUGGAAGAGGCCCUCCUCUGAGGGUGGUCUAUGCCGGGGACAGGUGGUGAUGAUGUGGUCGGCAGUCUGCUCAGGCUCCCCGCACUCACACGCUGCACUGUCUGUUAGGCCCCACUUCUUCAUGGACGCUUUGAAGCAGCCAACCCCUGUGCGAAGGCGGUUCAGGAGGGUCCAUUGCCGGCGAGGUAGAUCUUUUCCCUCAACGCCACCUCCAGGAUCCUGGAUGUAAUGGUGUAGGCAUGUCUGUCCUGCUGACUCCCACUCCUGCUUCCAUGCCGCUGCCAGCCAGGCUUUGGUUGUCAAAUCCUCCGGGAUGGAAAUAAGCAUCUCUUGUGCGGCCUGAUUGUAUGGGUGGCGGGACUUGAGUCUGCUUGGAGGUGUUGCCAUGGUGGUGGUUUCAUGGAGGAGGUGCCAGCUGUGUUCCUGGGCCACUUGCCAGGGCGAGGGUAGCAGCCUCUCGCCGUAGGCCGGCUGGCGCUAUUCCUGCUAGGACUGGCAGGUAGGACACAGGGGUGGGUUUCAGGCAGCCACUUAUGAUCCGGAAGGCAUUGUUGAUGGCCGUAUCGACCUUCUUGGCAUGUGGGCUUCUACUCCAGGUUGGGGCACAGUACUCAGCUGCAGAGAAUACGAGGGCUUGUGUGGAGAUACGUAGAACCUUGGCCGAGGCCCCCCAGGUUGCACCAGCUAGGCGCCGGAUGAGUGAGACCCUUGCUGAUACUUUAGCCUUCACUUCAUCCAAAUGCUGUUUGUAGGACAGUGUCCUGUCUAAGCGUACGCCCAGGUACUUUGGGGCCUGCUGGAACUCCAGGGGUUUGUUGUCCACUGAGAUCUCCAGCUCCCUUCUUGCUUCCCUGUUGCAGAGGUGGAAUGCUGCUGAUACAGUCUUUCCCUUACUGAGCUGCAGUCGCCAGCUUCGAAGGUAGGCAGCCAGGACGUCCAUGUCCUGAUUGAGACCCUCUUCAACCGCCUUCCAUGUGGGCCGGUGUAGCAUGAUGGCUAGAUCAUCCGCGUAUCCAUACCUUCUAGAUGUCGUCACCGGUAGGUCAAAGAUGUAGAUGUUGAAGAGCAUCGGUGAGAGGACCGACCCUUGUGGGACCCCGUUUCUCAGCCUCCUGAGCCUGCUGCGCUGGCCGUCACUGGUCUGGAGGAUGAAGCUGCGGUUUGACAGCAUCUCCAUGAUGAAGUUGACCAUAUGACGGUCCGGGAUUGUUCUCAGCAGCUUCAGGUGGAGUCCGCGGUGCCAGACGGUGUCGUAAGCAGCAGUCAGGUCCAGUAGUACCACCCCAGCUUUGGUUUUGGCCUGGAAGCUGUCCUCGAGAUCUUGUGUGAGAAGGGUUACCUGGUCCACUGUAGACCUGCCCCGGCGGAAGCCAGCCUGUUCCCUCGGUAGCUGUGAGUCAACUACUGGCUCAAUUCGGCUGUGUAUCAUCCUCUCCAGGAUUUUAAAAGGGACGCACAGCAACGAGAUUGGUCUGUAGGACUUGGGGUCAUCCGCAGGUUUGUUGGGUUUCAAGAGGGCUAUGACAGCAGCCCGUCGCCAUGCCCUUGGGAGCUUGGACCUCCGGAGGCACGCAGAGAAGAAAGCACACAGCCAGGCGGAAGUUAUUUCGCUCUGGUGGAUCACAAACUCUGGGUGGAUGUUGUCGGAGCCUGGUGCCUUGCCUUGUUUGAGUUUGGCCAUAGCGUCCUUGAGCCCAGCUGGUGUGAAAUCUCCUGACAGGUUGGCAUUGACCCUGGCCGCCCUAGAGAGACUGGAUACCUCGUGGGAUGUUGAGUGGGCAAACUCUUUGUCUGCGUCUGGGAAGCGGCCAUUUUUCAGGAGUUGGGCUGCGAUGGCGUUUGCUGUCACAGGGCACUUGGGAGGCGGUGUACUUCUUCCUGAGAGCUGGUUUAUGGUCUGCCACGCUUUACGGCUGGAGUGGGUAAAGUCAAUCGCCUCGACGACCUCUGUCCAUCUAGCCCUGCGAGUGGUGUCCAGCUUCUCAAGCAGUGCCGUUGCUGUCGCAUCCACUUCAGCUCUUGAGCUAGCCUGCUAGUGGGCUCGCAGGAGGUGGUUGCACUCCUCGUUCCAACCCGGGAUGUAGUUUUCAUUGUAGCCUCGUGGUAUGGUUUUCUUCGCUGCCCCUGUCAGCACUUCACAGUAGGCUGCAUAUGCAGCAUCCACAUUAGGAGUGUCUGGGUCCGGGAGGGUGACAGAUCUUCUCUCUGUGUCAACAGAAAAAGCAUGCCAGUUGGCCUUCCGGAAAUUCCAUCUUUUGACAGGCUUCCCUGCGACCGGCUGCACCAGUGAUGGUAUUCUGAUGACAGAUGGUCGGUGGUGUGAUCGGGGGAACCUGUCAAUGACCCUUCUCUCUGGCAUCGGGUCCUUACUGUGGAACACAGCAAAGGCGAGGUCUGGGUUGGUGAAGGUGUUCCAUCUGGAGGAGUAGAAGCUUGGUGGCUCUUUGGGGUCAAACAUGAGAUGGGCGUUGGCAUUGGAGGCCCACUUGCUCAGCGUCUCCCCAUCCGGUGUUGUGUGGGAGUAUCCCCAGUCGGUUUGCUGGCAGUUGAAAUCCCCGGCGUAGAUGGCCGGUGCCGGGGUAAUUGGGAGGGCUGAUGUGGACAGUACAGAUGGUGGGGGCUUGUACACUUUCACAACCGUUGUUGUCUGUAUCCUCGUGGACAUCCACUCGAGACUAGUGCCUGGAGGGGAUUGGCCUGUGGCUGUCCAGCUGAGGUCAGACCUGACAAAGGUGGCCAUCCCGUGCUGCCUGCUGAGGAUGGAGCGGCGAGGUGGAACCCGGGCAACCUGAGAAAGUCUGCUUUUCCACAGUGCGUCUCCUGAAGGAGGACGGCCGCGACUUCAUGGGAGUCGGCGAGGUGGUGUAUGAUGUCCAGUUCGGCGGUGGUGAGGCCCUCGACAUUUAGCUGGAGCACUGCCAGUGCCUGGCGCUCGAUGGUCGUGAUGGCUGCCCGCCCUGACGUGAGCUUGCGUCCCCCCGGCCUCUUGCGCCCUGAUCUGACAGCGUGACGAUUGGGUGGCGACAUUAGUUUCAUGAGCUGGUCUUGCACCAUAUCUCAUUACUUGCAGGGGAGGCCGCGUGGAGGCUGUCGUCUUCUCUCCCUAGAGGGAGCAGCACAUGAAGAACUGCAGCACCUGAUGUCCUCAGCAGCAACAUGGUGGAGAUCUGCAGCUUCAUGCUGGUCAACACGUGGACGACUGCAUCAUCAUCAUCAUAAUCUACACAACACUUCUAAAUUCCUCCCUUAACUAAAGAUGGCCUGCAACAGUUUAGUGAUGGCAGUCAUUGCUAAGUGUCAUGGAUAAGAGUUAAUGUCUAUCUUCAUUAUGGUUUGUUAAAAAAAUAAACAUUUAUUAGAACAA